rnacentral:lncRNA from 10 species
GAACCUUCUCUUCAGUCUCCACAAUCCAGGACUGCACAAGGAGGGUGACUCGUGCAUUCUUUACUCCAUAUAUGUCAGCUCCACAGUGUGCAGGAUGUUCAUGUACAACCUCACACUACUGGCCUGUCUCUUCCCAUCUCUGAGUGAGGAAUCAAAAGAAGGAGGAAGAAUAGAAUGAUUUGGAGGAAAAGAAGGAGAAAGUAGAGGAGUUGAAAAAAAGGAAGAAAAAGAAAAAUGCAGAAUCCUUUGUCAAUCCAACAGAACACAGCAAAAAAGCAAAGAAAGUGAAAGCAUAGAUUUGCUUGUAAGUAGAUAAUGCAUCAUGAGCAUCUUCUCUAUUGAUGAAAAUCUUUCGGUGUUGGGAUCUGUUUAUAACUGCAUCAUCACAAACAU